rnacentral:tRNA from 1 species
GUCCUCGUAGCUCAUCAGGAUAGAGUGACCGCCUCCUAAGUGGUAGGUAACAGGUUCGAGUCCUGUCGAGGACACCA